rnacentral:rRNA from 1 species
GAUGAACGCUGGCGGCGUGCCUAAUACAUGCAAGUCGAGCGAACAGACGAGGAGCUUGCUCCUCUGACGUUAGCGGCGGACGGGUGAGUAACACGUGGAUAACCUACCUAUAAGACUGGGAUAACUUCGGGAAACCGGAGCUAAUACCGGAUAACAUGUUGAACCGCAUGGUUCAACAGUGAAAGACGGUCUUGCUGUCACUUAUAGAUGGAUCCGCGCCGCAUUAGCUAGUUGGUAAGGUAACGGCUUACCAAGGCAACGAUGCGUAGCCGACCUGAGAGGGUGAUCCGCCCACCCUGGAAUGGGACCAGGUCCCGGCUCCCACGGGAGGCCGGAGGUGGGAAUCUUCCGGCAUGGGGGAAAGCCUGACGGGGCAACGCCGGGUGAGUGAAAGAGGUUUUUCGGUCGUUAAACCCUUUUAUUAGGGAAGAACAAAUGUGUAAGUAACUAUGCACGUCUUGACGGUACCUAAUCAGAAAGCCACGGCUAACUACGUG